CUCCCUCGGAUUGCUGGCCAUGCUCUUCGUGAUGAACCCUAGGAUAACACUCGCCUUUUUGGCCACAAGGACGCAAGGAAUGCAUUGAAACCAGAACCCACCCAUGUCAGAGACAAGCCUUGGGCAUACUGAGAUAUUAUGUACACCUUCCUGCUUUACAUGUCCUGCCUGGCAAUUGAGUGGUUCUCCCACAUGAAGAGGACAACAGUGAACAGUUAAGCAGUGAAAUCCAUCAGGCUGAGGAUGCUGGAGGUGCUUCUUUUCAAGCUCAUCUUUUCUGCGUUGGAAACUGAAAUACUUGCUUCAGAGUUAAAUAGUUGGAGCGUGAUCCUGAUGCUACAAAAGCCAAAACCAAACUUUCUGCUUUUUUUAAAGAGCCAGAUCUACCUUUAUGCUCUCUACAGUGUUUCUGGAUAUUGAUAACUUUCAUAGCAGAAACAUUAGGAACAAGUACAUCCAUACUGGGAGUGUCUUUUCUUCUGGACAUCUCUCCUACAACUCAGAUGUGUUAUGUUGGGAACCUCAACCUUGAGAAUCCAAAGAUAGAGUUGUACAAAAUCUGUAGAAACUUGGGAAAACA
rnacentral:lncRNA from 1 species